rnacentral:rRNA from 1 species
UACUUCUUGUUCACUCGUUAAUCGGAAUUACUGGGCGUAAAGCGUGCGCAGGCGGUUAUAUAAGACAGAUGUGAAAUCCCCGGGCUCAACCUGGGAACUGCAUUUGUGACUGUAUAGCUAGAGUACGGCAGAGGGGGAUGGAAUUCCGCGUGUAGCAGUGAAAUGCGUAGAUAUGCGGAGGAACACCGAUGGCGAAGGCAAUCCCCUGGGCCUGUACUGACGCUCAUGCACGAAAGCGUGGGGAGCAAACAGGAUGAGAUAACCCUGUAGUCC